GAAUUGUUCGCAAUGGGCGCAAGCCUGACGACGCAACGCCGCGUGGAGGAUGAAGGUCUUCGGAUUGUAAACUCCUGUUGCCCGGGACGAAUGGCUCCAACCUAAUACGUUGGAGUGUGACGGUACCGGGUGAGGAAGCCCCGGCUAACUCUGUGCCCGCAGCCGCGGUAAUACAGAGGGGGCAAGCGUUGUUCGGAAUUACUGGGCGUAAAGGGCGCGUAGGCGGCCUUCUAAGUCGAACGUGAAAUCCCCGGGCUCAACCCGGGAACUGCGUCCGAGACUGGAAGGCUCGAAUCCGGGAGAGGGAUGUGGAAUUCCAGGUGUAGCGGUGAGAUGCGUAGAUAUCUGGAGGAACACCGGUGGCGAAGGCGGCAUCCUGGACCGAGAUUGACGCUGAGGCGCGAAAGCUAGGGUAGCAAACGG
rnacentral:rRNA from 1 species